rnacentral:rRNA from 1 species
GACGAACGCUGGCGGCGUGCUUAACACAUGCAAGUCGAACGGAAAGGCCCUGCUUGCAGGGUACUCGAGUGGCGAACGGGUGAGUAACACGUGGGUGAUCUGCCCUGCACUUCGGGAUAAGCCUGGGAAACUGGGUCUAAUACCGGAUAGGAGCCAUUUUUAGUGUGAUGGUUGGAAAGUUUUUUCGGUGUGGGAUGAGCUCGCGGCCUAUCAGCUUGUUGGUGGGGUAAUGGCCUACCAAGGCGGGGACGGGUAGCCGGCCUGAGAGGGUGGACGGCCACAUUGGGACUGAGAUACGGCCCAGACUCCUACGGGAGGGAGCAGUGGGGAAUAUUGCACAAUGGGCGCAAGCCUGAUGCAGCGACGCCGCGUGGGGGAUGACGGCCUUCGGGUUGUAAACUCCUUUCGCUAGGGACGAAGCUUUUUGUGACGGUACCUAGAGAAGAAGCACCGGCUAACUACGUG